AUAGAUACCCCGGUAGUCCACGCCGUAAACGAUGUCGACUUGGAGGUUGUGCCCUUGAGGCGUGGCUUCCGGAGCUAACGCGUUAAGUCGACCGCCUGGGGAGUACGGCCGCAAGGUUAAAACUCAAAUGAAUUGACGGGGGCCCGCACAAGCGGUGGAGCAUGUGGUUUAAUUCGAUGCAACGCGAAGAACCUUACCUACUCUUGACAUCCAGAGAACUUAGCAGAGAUGCUUUGGUGCCUUCGGGAACUCUGAGACAGGUGCUGCAUGGCUGUCGUCAGCUCGUGUUGUGAAAUGUUGGGUUAAGUCCCGCAACGAGCGCAACCCUUAUCCUUUGUUGCCAGCGAUUCGGUCGGGAACUCAAAGGAGACUGCCAGUGAUAAACUGGAGGAAGGUGGGGAUGACGUCAAGUCAUCAUGGCCCUUACGAGUAGGGCUACACACGUGCUACAAUGGCAUAUACAAAGAGAAGCGACCUCGCGAGAGCAAGCGGACCUCAUAAAGUAUGUCGUAGUCCGGA
rnacentral:rRNA from 1 species